GAUGAAGAACGUAGUGAAAUGCGAUAAGUAGUGUGAAUUGCAGAAUUCAGUGAAUCAUCGAAUCUUUGAACGCACAUUGCGCCCCUUGGUAUCCCGAGGGGCAUGCCUGUUCGAGCGUCAUUUCACCACUCAAGCCUGGCUUGGUGUUGGGCGACGUCCCCUUUGGGGACGAGCCUCGAAACGCUCGGCGGCGUGGCACCGGCUUUAAGCGUAGCAGAAUCUUUAGCUUUGGAAGUCGGGGCCCCGUCUGCCGGAAGACCUACUCGCAAGGUUGACCUCGGAUCAGGCAGGGAUACCCGCUGAACUUAAGCAUAUCAAUAAGCGGAGGA
rnacentral:misc_RNA from 1 species